AAGUCGUAACAAGGUUUCCGUAGGUGAACCUGCGGAAGGAUCAUUACAAAAAAAUAGAAUUUCGUAUUCUUAAACCCCUGCAGUGUACUUGUUCUCGUUGCUUCCAUGGGCAGUAAGCCUUGUGCUUGCGACCCCCCUCGGGGCGGACCCAUGGGAGGUCAUCAUAAACACUGUUAUCAUAUGGUAUCUGUCUGACCUUGAUUAGUUCAUGAAUGUUAAAACUUUCAACAACGGAUCUCUUGGUUCUCGCAUCGAUGAAGAACGCAGCGAAAUGCGAUAAGUAGCGUGAAUUGCAGAAUUCAGUGAAUCAUCGAAUUUUUGAACGCACAUUGCGCCUUCCGGUAUUCCGGAAGGCAUGCCUGUUCGAGCAUCAUAUAAACACCUCAAGUAUGAAUUUAUUCUUACUUGGUAUUGGUCAAGGAUUGAGCUUGCCUUCUUCCUGUCCGAAAUGCAAUGGCGAAGUCCUGUCUUCCAUUCAGUGUAGUAAUCAACGUUAUGUUUCACCUCUGGACAUGAGAGGCUUCUGCUACAAAUUAAAUUCCCCAAUUCUAAAGUUUGAUCUCGGAUCAGGUAGGGAUACCCGCUGAACUUA
rnacentral:rRNA from 1 species